UCUUUUUCAGAGCUGUGAAUCCUAUGACAUGGAAUUUUGUGCUGUGUUUUGAUUGGCACCUUCACAUUUGAUAUUAAUGGGAACCACCAAGGUGAAAGAUACUGAAAACUGAGUGGACUGAUUGACACUGCAAAGAACACAAAGCUCCUCUAGGGAAGAAACAACUGGAUUUGGAAAGAAAGAUGGAUGGAGGGAAAGAGGAGGAAACAGCCUGGAUACCAACUGACUGAAAAUACUGGGAGGAUGUGGAAGGCAGUAAUCAAGAAAAUGUUUUAGGAGCUGAAAAUAUAACAAGCUAUUGACACAUCUUUUGGGACAAAGUCUGGGAGUGGAAGAAAUCCAAAAGUGAGGCUGAAGAAGCUGGCUUCAAAUCCCUCUACGGACCAGUGGCCACCAAGAGUGAGAGAGUUUGUGCAAGAACCUGAAGUUUGGAUUAUUCUCCUAAGAAUAGCAGACUUCACAUGAGAAUCUGAUCAGUCAUUGCCUUUCCAGUUGUAUGGCAGGAAGUAAAUCAGGAUGGCUGAAACAAAAUGAAGUAAGGCCUGUUUCAGGUGUCCUUGCCCGGAGAACAGGAGGGAGAGAAGGAACUCAAUGCUGCGAGGGUAAUGGAGAACCCGGGCAGGUAGCCAGCUCUGUGCUUCACAGAUGUUCCACACAACCCAGCUGGCUCCUACCUCACCUGGUUAGUUUUUAUCUGGCUUCUUUUUAUUUACAGAAUGAAAUGUCAAGAUCUGAGAUUUGCCCAAGUGAGGUAUGACUUCCAUCUUUAGAGAAUUCCCCAUAUGUAGGUAGUCUCUGCUCAGCGUAGACAUCACACCUGGCUUACUUGUUUCUAUCCAUACAGCUCUCGCUCUCCUCCAUCUUGGAACACCAUGAAAAUUCAAGGUACUAUGUUCUUCAAGCCCAGAUAUUUCAGGAUCCAUCCUGCUUAGGGCACUGAGUCUAAAUGUAAGUUUUCCAGAUGUGGAUGCCACUUUCCCGGGAUAAAAGUGCAUUAGUGAUAGAAAACACACCCACAUGCUAACCAUGUGUGGAAGGAAACAGAGUGAAAUCACUGGACACAGAAAGACAAAUACUAGGUGCUGUUCCUUACAUGUGGGAGCUAAAAUUUAAAAAAUUAAAGAAGUGCUUGUUUGUAUCAGUGUUGCUGAAAAUAUAGUUUUGUGAAAUUUUGUUUUAUCUUUGUCAAAAAAAUGGUUAAGAAUGAUAUGCUACUAUAGUUUUAAGUAUCGGAUUAUUUUUAAAAUUUAUUGUGUAUGAGUGAAAUUAGUAUCUUUUCAUUUGAUUAUUGUUUGCAGUCCUUGCCUAUAUGCCUGCUGAAUUAGGGUCUUUUUACCUUUUACUUGUUGAACUCUUUAUUUAGUGGAGCACUAAGCCAUUGACAAUAAUGUAAAUUAAAAAUAUGUUAUCUCAAAAAUUAAAGAAAGAGGGGGAGACAGAUGGAGAAAGGGAAAUAUAUUUUUAGAAUUGUAUCUAUGAAGUACAUUAAAUCUGUUCUCUUUAUCUUAAGUAAAUAACUGAAAAAAUUAAUUUUAAAAAGAAAUACGGGGGAAAAUAAAAGCAGUGUUCUUCCUCUGCACCAAGGACCCCACAUCAGGAUGACUCCUCCCUUACUUACAUCAAGAAAUUCCCAAUUCAGUUUCUGCUCAGGCAAUCAAAGUUGUGGCUAGAUGAGCGCCUUAGGAAGCGUGCUAAGUCAAGUUAGCUAAAUAGGUGUUCUAAGUGUCUUCGAUCGUGCUGCCAUAACAAAAUGCCAUUGGGUGGCUUCAGCAACAGAAACUUCUUUUCCCCAGUUCUAGAAGCUGGAAGAGUGAGGUUAGGGUACCAGCAUUGUCAUGUUCUGGCUUGCGCUGGCUACCCUGAAUGCAGGUUCACGUGGCAGAGGCAAAGAGCAACCAGGCUUUCUGGUGCCUUUUUUUUCUUUACUUUUUUUAAUGUAAAGAGGACAGAUUCUAUGCAUUCCAUAGGUACAGUUCCAAAAAGACAAGCACACUUCCCUCAACCCCUACUUCCCUACAAUCCUCCCUCUCCCUCUCCACUCUUCAUCAGUUUUUGCAAAACCAUAAUUCUUUUUUCUGGUGUCUUUUCUAAUAAGGGCACCAAUCCUAUCAUGAGGGCCCCAUCCUCAUGGCCUUGUCUCAACAUAGUUGCCUCCAGAAGGCCCCGUCUCUAAGUACUAUGACAUGGGGGGCUAGGGCUUCAGCAUAAGCAUUUAGUAGGGGGGCAUAAACCUUCAGUCACACCAAAUUGGUUCUUUGGAGAUUUACACUCCCACAUCUGAUUUUACUGUGGGAUUUCUGAAUACAAUAACAUGGAGCUAGGCUAUAUAUUACCAUGUGUGAUAAUGCAAAUAUGAUAUCAAGUAUAGUUUUACCUUGAAAUCACUCACAACUCAUCCUUACCUCUAAAAAGCACUCUAUUCAUAGGUCUGGCAUUAGAAACUAUGGAGAAAACUCUUUAUGGAACCAUUUGAAAGCUUCUGUACGAACGUCAUUUAUUAGCAAAUUCUUCCCAAAUGAAACAGUGAUACUGCUUGAACAAAUGAUAAAGGUUUUGGAGUUAUUCAAAUUUAACUGAAGGGUAAAAACAUAUUCAUAUCUAUACAAAAUCAUCUGAGACAUAAAUGAAUACUGUAUACUGUGAUAGCUGAAUUGUUGACACAUACCCUCUGGAAUAUGGAGAGAUUCACUAACGUUAUUAUGGAGACAAUAGGCAAAAGAUUACAGGGAAAAAAUCCCUUUUCCACAUUUACCUUUACUUUUCAGCAUUGAAAUUUACAGGUCAUCAAAGAAGGAGGUACCUUUCUCUGAAGGGAGGAGAGAACCUCCACUUUGACUACGACCUUGUCUAAAUAUGAUCAGAGUCGGAGAACUCAAAAGGCUUCCAUAGCCUUGGAAGCUCAUGACAAGAGCCUAGGGUGAUUACUGAUGCCAUAAACAAGAGUGUCAAUUUGUUAAGUCAACAACAGGAGUCACUGUGCACUUACUCCUCAUGUAGGAUCUCUGUCCUUAAUGUGCUGUACAUUGUGAUUUAAUGCUAUAACUAGUACUCAAACAGUAUUUUUCACUUUGUGUUUCUAUGUGGGUGCAAACUGUUGAAGUCUUUACUUAAUAUAUGCUAAACUGAUCUUCUGUAUAUAAAGAGAAUUAAAAAUGAAUCUUG